UUCAUACUUUGAAAACUUUUGAGCAACUAGUUGUUCAUGUUAAGAGCAGUUGAUCCAUAAAUCUGGUGUGUCAAUGUUUCAAGCACAAGUGAAUUUAAACGUGUGUUUAGGAAGUUCUUAACUUGUAAGAUGUAUCAUUUUUCUUAAAAUGUAUGCUUAAAUUUUAUUUUUUUAGUAAUUUUUUAAAAGCUUAUUCAUGUUAAAUUUAUGAUGCAGAAUGAUAGCAUUAGGUGACUGCAAUUGAAAAAAAUUUACUACUUUGAACCCCCAAAAUAUUCAGUUGCAAGAAUGUUUGAUUCUAAAAGUAUUCAUGGUAGCAUACCUAACACACCACUUUGAAACUUUUAAAAAAUACACUUAGCACAUGUGCUGUGAAAGCAUAUGUACAAAGAGAAAGGGGAAGGUAAAUUAUAAUUCCUACAACAGAGGCCAAGAAAUGAAAUAUUUUAAAGACCCCCAAAAUAACAUGUUAUGGUUGGGAAGUCAGCAAAACACUGGACUAGGCGAAUACCUAACAGUAAUUUUUGUCUUAAGAAUGCUUUCUCCAGGACAGACCCUUUAACCUCACCUCUGUGCAUCUGUUUUUAAAGUGAUUAUAUUUGCCUCUGAUAUCUGAAAGCACUUUUAUAGUUUUGAUGAUGAAAAAUACAUUAAACAUAUACCUAUUGCCAUUAUUUAGGAAAUAAUUUCUUACAUACUGUGAUAAAUCAUUGCUGUUACAUAUAGUAACAUGCCUUAAUUACAUUUAAUGCCUUACUGUUUUUUUAAGUAAAUAGAAUUAAAAUUAAGCAUUAUUUCAGAUGGUCCAAUAAGAUUUGUUACAUAGGCUAUACAAAUUUGUCUCCACUUUGACCAUCGAAGCACAAAUAAUUGGGUCAAAACUGCCUCUGAGGUCUGUUGAAGAAAAUGGCUCAUUAAGCAAAAACGAGUAAAGUUAUUUUGUAUUAGCAGUGACCAACAAAUUAUUUAGUAAUCCCUUAACCUCUGUUUUUCAGAGAGAAAAUAUCCAAUUUAUACUUUUUACCUGAACAAUAUAUAUAGCAUCAAAUUGGGAAACAAAGGCCAAAGGUGUAUAGAUUGCUUGAAAGGGCAUGAUAUGCCUCUUUUUAAGAUCUGUUGAGUCAGCUACAGUCUGGCUAAGUAAGAAGCAUUUGCAUACUGAUUCCAUCAUUUAAUCUUUAAAAGUAUGUGUUUUAAAAAUGUAACCAGAAUGAUUCUUCAAUAGAAAGGAGAUUUGGUGGAGUCUGGAUUGCCUGUUUUGUAUAUAAUAAAGUAUAUACUUAAGAUAUAUAAUACCACCUCAUUUUCUGGGCAUUAUUUCCUAAUUGUUGAUGUUUCAAGCUUUUGAUCAGUCAUUUUAUAUAUUUCAAAUUUCAAUCUUGAUACAAAGUAGCAUGAAUAAAUAAAUAUUCAUGGCAAAUAGAGUUUUAUAUACUUUCAGGAAAAGAAGAGUCAAACAUUAAAGCCCUUGCAGAUAUUAGAGGACCUUAGACAAUUACCAAAAAGUAUUUAAUAGGGAAGUUGCAAAUUGAUUCUUUUGGUAAAUUAAUCAUUUAAAAAAUUGUUUUAAUGUGCCUUCAGCAUCUUGAAGAGUGUGAUAUAAUUUAUGCUCAGUGUUAACUGGCCAGUUUACAUUGUAUUUAUUAAGCCUGCUGAAAAAUGAGGUUUUAAGGAAGAAUAUGCAGAUUAUUUUAGGGUAAACAGGCCAGGUGUCAUUUGAAGAACUUUGUUUACAUCAAAUUGAUGAAAUUAUAGUCUGAUUCCUUUUUUGCUAGUUGUACUUUGAAAUUGUUAUGAGUUUGAUUUCCAAAAUACAUAAUUUAUUUUUAAAAAAGGAAUAAGGUGUGCUGUGUACUUGUUGAUUAAAAAUCAUUUGUCUUGCAGAGUAUCCUUUUCGAAGGAAAUAUACAUCCUUAUAACACAAUCAGACAGGUUUUUUCUAUAUUUAAAUUAUAUUUUUUACUUAAUUGAAUAUAAUUUGAAUUACAUGUAAUUCUAUAUAAAGGUUACAUAUUGAAUUAUGGUUCUAAGGUUUUGAAAAGAAAAUAAUUUUCCAAGCAUUGAAUACAUUUGGAAUAAUUUUAGUUUCUAAAAAGUACUAAUGUAAGUUGGUAUCAAAUGCACAUUACCUUGUAUAACUAAUUGACAAGCACAGUUAUUGUUUAACAUUGUGGAUUUUGUGUUGACACCCUUAUUUGAAUUUGCAGCUUUACAUGUGUGUCUGUGUGUGUGCCUACGUGCACAGAUGCACUUGUAUGCAGUGUAAAAGUAACAACAGAAUCAUUGCAUUUGGUUCACUAAAAUUUGGGAGUUGGCAAAUAAAGAAAAAGCUGAUCGUUUUAUGAAGUCUGCGUUAAAAUAAAGUUAUGGAGUUCAUGUUUUCAAAGAUAUGUUAAAAUGGUUACAGACUCUGCUGGCCACAUUAAAAAUUAGAAGACUCAUGUUAAAUUAUUUUCUCCAAAGGACUUAUUUACAUCUUUUCUUUUUCUGGGUUCUACCUGCUUGUUUCAGUGUCCUGAAGAGUUCUUUAAAUGAACCACUACUUAGUUCUUUUUUAAAGUAUCUACUUCUAAAAUUACCUAGUUGGAAAUAUGAAGGAUACAGUUAGUUUUGGAAAUAUGAGUAAAGGAUCCAGUCAGUGUUACACGGUAAAGGUGGAGUUUUUUAAAGUCUUUAUUUAAAUGGUGCACUGAUGGGAUUCAUUCUUAAUUUGAGUUACAAAAAUGUUGCUCAGGUAAUCAGUAUUUUCUUCCACGUAUGUGCAUAUUGCACUGUUAGAUCAUGGAAAUAUCUGAAAGCUUUAAUUUUUAUGUAUGCAAAAUCUAUAAAUCUUUUAACAUGUUAGCAUGUACAUCUAUAAAACCAGUUUUUAAAGUUUCUUGCCCCUUAUUUUUCAUAUUUUGAAAGAUCUGCAACAUGUAAUAAAGUUUCUAUUACUCAAUCUGGAA